GUGUGUUUCCAGCAACAUUCUUACUUUUUCUCUCUUCUGUGAGAAUGGCAUGUCUCAAAAAGGAGCUGCUCCUAAUCUGAAGCAUAACCCUGACUCUCAUCUGAGUCCUGGAAAGAAAAGAUUAAACAAAGCCACAACAGUUGACUACAGCUGCCAAUGUGUAACGCUUGUGUGGUCUGGGUUAUCAUGGAUGGAAAGGACUCCUGCCUUAGGCCGGGCGUGGUGGCUCACACUUGUAAUCCCAGCACUUCAGGAGGCUGAGUUACCUUGGAAGACUCACGCUGAGAGGCCAGUGCCACCAGAAGGAAUUUGGAUGGAUCCCUGACUCAUUGCUUG
rnacentral:lncRNA from 13 species